UCAGUGAGUACGUAUGGUGUGUGUU
rnacentral:piRNA from 1 species